rnacentral:rRNA from 1 species
AUGAACGCUGGCGGCGUGCCUAAUACAUGCAAGUCGAGCGAACAGAUGAGGAGCUUGCUCCUCUGGCGUUAGCGGCGGACGGGUGAGUAACACGUGGAUAACCUACCUAUAAGACUGGGAUAACUUCGGGAAACCGGAGCUAAUACCGGAUAAUAUAUUGAACCGCAUGGUUCAAUAGUGAAAGACGGUUUUGCUGUCACUUAUAGAUGGAUCCGCGCCGCAUUAGCUAGUUGGUAAGGUAACGGCUUACCAAGGCAACGAUGCGUAGCCGACCUGAGAGGGUGAUCGGCCACACUGGAACUGAGAUACGGUCCAGACUCCUACGGGAGGCAGCAGUAGGGAAUCUUCCGCAAUGGGCGAAAGCCUGACGGAGCAACGCCGCGUGAGUGAUGAAGGUCUUCGGAUCGUAAAACUCUGUUAUUAGGGAAGAACAAAUGUGUAAGUAACUAUGCACGUCUUGACGGUACCUAAUCAGAAAGCCACGGCUAACUACGUG